rnacentral:rRNA from 1 species
CAGCCGCCGCGGGAAUACGGAGGGUGCAAGCGUUAUCCGGAUUUAUUGGGUUUAAAGGGUCCGUAGGCGGAUCUGUAAGUCAGUGGUGAAAUCUCACAGCUUAACUGUGAAACUGCCAUUGAUACUGCAGGUCUUGAGUAAAUUUGAAGUGGCUGGAAUAAGUAGUGUAGCGGUGAAAUGCAUAGAUAUUACUUAGAACACCAAUUGCGAAUGCAGGUCACUAAGAUUUAACUGACGCUGAUGGACGAAAGCGUGGGGAGCGAACAGGAUUAGAGACCCCCGUAGUCCCUGUCUCUUAUAC